AGUGAACGCUGGCGGUAGGCCUAACACAUGCCAGUCGAACGGCAGCACAGUAAGAGCUUGCUCUUACGGGUGGCGAGUGGCGGGUGGGUGAGGAAUACAUCGGAAUCUACUUUUUCGUGGGGGAUAACGUAGGGAAACUUACGCUAAUACCGCAUACGACCUACGGGUGAAAGCAGGGGAUCUUCGGACCUUUCGCGAUUGAAUGAGCCGAUGUCGGAUUAGCUAGUUGGCUGGGUAACGGCCCACCAAGGCGACGAUCCGUAGCUGGUCUGAGAGGAUGAUCAGCCACACUGGAACUGAGACACGGUCCAGACUCCUACGGGAGGCAGCAGUGGGGAAUCUUGGGCAAUGGGCGCAAGCUUGAUGGAGCCACACCGCGUGAGUGAAGAAGGCCUUCGGGUCGUAAAGCCCUGUUGUUGGGAAAGAACAAAUGUAUAUGUAACUAUACCUGUCUUGACGGUACCUAAUGAAUAAGCACCGGCUAACUACGUG
rnacentral:rRNA from 1 species